rnacentral:rRNA from 1 species
UACGUAGGGGGCAAGCGUUAUCCGGAUUCACUGGGUGUAAAGGGAGCGUAGACGGCCAUGCAAGCCUGGAGUGAAAGCCCGGGGCCCAACCCCGGGACUGCUCUGGGAACUGUGCGGCUGGAGUGCGGGAGGGGCAGGCGGAAUUCCUGGUGUAGCGGUGAAAUGCGUAGAUAUAAGGAAGAACACCAGUGGCGAAGGCGGAUUACUGGACGAUAACUGACGGUGAGGCGCGAAAGCGUGGGGAGCAAACAGG